ACUUGAGCCCAGGAGGUCAAGGCUGCAGUGAGCUGUGAUUGCGCCACUUCACUCCAGCCCAGAGUGAGACCCCAUCUCUGAAAAAAACACAAAAAACAAGAAAAGAAUACUGCAAAGAACCUUGGUAGGGGUGAAUUGGAAAAAGUAGAGAAAUGUAAUAUUUCUUUCCUGCUAUACUCACUGUAACUGUGAGAGAAUCGGCUCUUUUAACCAACAGAUAAGAAAGGAAAUAUUAGCUAUGAAGAAAUGUCUAUCAUGUUGAUUUUGACAUCCUAGACACAUUAAUCUCCUUGCACUUUUAGUGACAGGAACCCAUUAGAACCUUAAGCAGCUGUCUGAAGUAAAAACAAAGCUCUCAGGUGAUGAACCACCUAAUCUCUCUGGGUAUUCGGAUGUGGGUCAGUCACAGAAGUAUUAGGUGUAAAGCCGCUGCUUCUGGGUAGAGCCUCCACUUGUGGCUGCACAGAGGGCACAGAGAGCUUUUCCUUCAGCCUGGAGAAGCUUCCUAAGGGCGCCACCUUGUGGGACAUACAUUGAACUACGACGCCCUUUCUCCAAGAAUUAACAGGACAGUCCCUCCCACCGGUGUCCUUCCAACGGUGUUGCAUACAAUUUGGCUGUACA
rnacentral:sRNA from 1 species